UACGGAGGGAGCUAGCGUUAUUCGGAAUUACUGGGCGUAAAGCGCACGUAGGCGGCUUUGUAAGUUAGAGGUGAAAGCCUGGAGCUCAACUCCAGAAUUGCCUUUAAGACUGCAUCGCUUGAAUCCAGGAGAGGUGAGUGGAAUUCCGAGUGUAGAGGUGAAAUUCGUAGAUAUUCGGAAGAACACCAGUGGCGAAGGCGGCUCACUGGACGACUGUUGACGCUGAGGUGCGAAAGCGUGGGGAGCAACAGG
rnacentral:rRNA from 1 species